UCCACGCCUAGGGCGUCCACAUUUACGCC
rnacentral:sRNA from 1 species